AGAGUUUGAUCCUGGCUCAGAUUGAACGCUAGCGGGAUGCCUUACACAUGCAAGUCGAACGGCAGCACGGACUUCGGUCUGGUGGCGAGUGGCGAACGGGUGAGUAAUGUAUCGGAACGUGCCUAGUAGCGGGGGAUAACUACGCGAAAGCGUAGCUAAUACCGCAUACGCCCUUCGGGGAAAGCAGGGGAUCGUAAGACCUUGCACUAUUAGAGCGGCCGAUAUCGGAUUAGCUAGUUGGUGGGGUAACGGCUCACCAAGGCGACGAUCCGUAGCUGGUUUGAGAGGACGACCAGCCACACUGGGACUGAGACACGGCCCAGACUCCUACGGGAGGCAGCAGUGGGGAAUUUUGGACAAUGGGGGAAACCCUGAUCCAGCCAUCCCGCGUGUGCGAUGAAGGCCUUCGGGUUGUAAAGCACUUUUGGCAGGAAAGAAACGUCCCGGGCUAAUACCCUGGGAAACUGACGGUACCUGCAGAAUAAACACCGGCUAACUACGUGCCAGCAGCCGCGGUAAUACGUAGGGUGCAAGCGUUAAUCGGAAUUACUGGGCGUAAAGCGUGCGCAGGCGGUUCGGAAAGAAAGAUGUGAAAAUCCCAGAGCUUAACUUUGGAACUGCAUUUUUAACUACCGAGCUAGAGUGUGUCAGAGGGGAGGUGGAAUUCCCGCGUGUAGCAUGUGAAAUGCGUAAAUAUGCGGAGGAACACCCGAUGGGCGAAAG
rnacentral:rRNA from 1 species